CAGUCGCCGCGGUAAUACGGAGGGUGCAAGCGUUAAUCGGAAUUACUGGGCGUAAAGCGCACGCAGGCGGUCUGACAAGUCAGAUGUGAAAUCCCCGGGCUUAACCUGGGAACUGCAUUUGAAACUGUCAGGCUGGAGUCUUGUAGAGGGGGGUGGAAUUCCAGGUGUAGCGGUGAAAUGCGUAGAGAUCUGGAGGAAUACCGGUGGCGAAGGCGGCCUCCUGGACAAAGACUGACGCUCAGGUGCGAAAGCGUGGGGAGCAAACAGGAUUAGAUACCCCUGUAGUCCCUGUCUCUUAUAA
rnacentral:rRNA from 1 species